AGCUUUGCGUAGUAGCAGUAUCAUAGACAGUGAGGAUUAUCCAAGCCAUGAUUAUUGCUAAUUGAUAAAAAUAGUAUUGCUAAUAGAUAGAUGAUAUUAUUGGGAAGGGAAUGUGAGAAUGCCCAACACAGUACCUGGCAUAGACUCACUUUCAAUAAAUGUUUGCUAAAUGAAUAUACAA
rnacentral:snRNA from 1 species